GGUUGGCUUAAUCUCUCCCUGUCAUUGGUGUAUGGAAGGAUAUAUUGCCUCGUUAGUGUAGACUUGAAAUCCUUCCCUUUCUUGGCAGCAGAAGCUAACACAGAGCUCUUGCCCCCUUGACCUACCACAAAAGCAAGGUCAACUGCUUCCCAAAUCUGCUCCUUUAUAUCCUUGGGGAUUUGAGCCCAUUUCAUGUCCACAAGUGGAAC
rnacentral:lncRNA from 1 species